ACCAGAGACUCUUGACAGCCCAAGGCGCUGCCGACCAACGUCACUCCGAGCGAUACAUGGACAAAGGAGGACAAAUAAGACAAAUCGUCUCAGUGCACAAGACAGUUGAUAGAGUAAGCAGAACAAAGCAGGGCAACCUUAAGCAGGUGUAAAGAACAGUUUGAAGAAGGACACAGGCUCCUGUGUGUGACCUAUCGUCUGUCGGCCCGGGAGAGCGGCUCUGCUUUCGCCCAAUGCAGAGAUCAUCUAUCCAUUGCUGUCACAUGAGGACGUGUGUCUGCCUGUUCUACACCCAUUCUCUGAUCCAGUAGGGUGCAGCACAUCCAUCACCCUGAACCCCAGCAGGCCUGCCACGCUGUCUCACUCCCCUGAUUCUACCUCUUCUCCUCCUGCACGC